GGAAUAUUAAAUAUAUUAUAUAUUGAAUCAUUAGUCUUAAAGAAAUUUUUUGCUUAAAUUAUUAGUGCUAAACUUAGAUUAACGCUAAAGCUAAAGUGUUAAACGAUACGUAACCAAAAAGCUAGAGAAUAAAGGAGAGAAAAUCAGGGACCUCGUGCUAGGACAGGAAGAAUUAAGAAGGAUAUUUCAAAAGAUAGAGGAAAAAGGAAUACUAAACGAAUUAUUUAACUUCUGUUAAAAAUACAGUUUUGGGUAAUCGGAAACCGUUGCUUUUUCUUCGCCACUUGUUGGCCUAUCGCCAACAAUUUAAAUAAUUCGUUUAUCCACGUACGGAUAACGAUGCCACUGGUGGCAAGAAGCAACGAAAGUUCUGCCGAAGAAUCUCCCGCUAAUUGCAAAGCAUGCCGUGGGCAUGAUGACUCCCAGAUGGUCCAGUGCGACGCGUGUGACGAUUGGUACCAUUUUGAAUGCGUGGGAGUAAGCCAGGACGUCGAAAACCAUGAUUGGCUCUGCCCAACCUGCCGAGCCAAGAACAAGCAAUCGACAAAAGUAAAUUACACAACCGUACCGCCCGUAAGUACAGGUGUCACCCCAACCAACACUCAGGGGCGCACUAC